rnacentral:rRNA from 1 species
AGGGCAGACUAGAGUGCGGUAGGGGAGAUUGGAAUUCCUGGUGUAGCGGUGGAAUGCGCAGAUAUCAGGAGGAACACCGAUGGCGUAAGGCAGAUCUCUGGGCCGUAACUGACGCUGAGGAGCGGAAGGGUGGGGAGCAAAACAGGCUUAGAUACCCUGGUAGUCCACCCCGUAAACGUUGGGAACUAGUUGUGGGGUCCAUUCCACGGAUUCCGUGACGCAGCUAACGCAUUAAGUUCCUCGCCUGGAGAGUGCGGCCGCAAGGCUAAAACUCAAAGGAAUUGACCGGGACCCGCACAAGCGGCGGAGCAUGCGUUUUACAUUCGAUGCAACGCGAAGAACCUUACCAAGGCUUGACAUAUACGAGAACGGGCCAGAAAUGGUCAACUCUUUGGACACCCGUAAACAGGUCGCAUUUCUGGCCCGUUCUCUUAUAUGGUAAGCCUUGGGGUUAAGUCCCGCGUUGCAUCRAACCCUCGUUCUAUGUUGCCAGCACGUAAUGGUGGGAACUCAUGGGAUACUGCCGGGGUCAACUCGGAGGAAGGUGGGGAUGACGUCAAAUCAUCAUGCCCCUUAUGUCUUGGGCUUCACGCAUGCGGUACAAUGGCCGGUACAAUGGGCUGCAAUACCGUGAGGUGGAGCGAAUCCCAAAAAGCCGGUCCCAGUUCGGAUUGAGGUCUGCAACUCGACCUCAUGAAGUCGGAGUCGCUAGUAAUCGCAGAUCAGCAACGCUGGGGUGAAUCCGUUCCCGGGUCUAUGUACACACCGCCCGUCAAGUCAUGAAAGUCGGUAACACCUGAAGCCGGUGGCCUAACCCUUCC